rnacentral:rRNA from 1 species
UACGAAGGGGGCUAGCGUUGCUCGGAAUUACUGGGCGUAAAGCGCGCGCAGGCGGUCCUUUAAGUCGGGGGUGAAAGCCCAGAGCUCAACUCUGGAACUGCCUUCGAUACUGGAGAGCUCGAGUCCGGGAGAGGUGAGUGGAACUGCGAGUGUAGAGGUGAAAUUCGUAGAUAUUCGCAAGAACACCAGUGGCGAAGGCGGCUCACUGGCCCGGUACUGACGCUGAGGUGCGAAAGCGUGGGGAGCAAACAGG